rnacentral:sRNA from 1 species
AACUGAUUAGGAAGAGGACGGCGGGUUUCAGUAGCUGAAGCAUUGCAUGGCCGUCCGCGUCGUUGAUCGAG